rnacentral:lncRNA from 1 species
GUGGGUUUGAUUGCCAUGGGAUGUUUUAGUUAGGAAAAGGGAGGAGAUGGUAAGGCAAGCUGUAGAGGGCGGGGCUUUGAAAGCAAUUUGGAUUGGGAGCAGCAAGCCUAUUGCAGCAAGGAUUACAACUUAACGAGCUUGACGGUCUCAAAAGGAGAGGUCCUCUGGGUGAUUUAGAAUGAGAAUUGUUCAACAAAAUGCAAGCACUG